ensembl:lncRNA
GACUUCAGUCAGCACAGUGUCUGGAGACCUUGUUGAUAUAAGACACAAUAUGGAAGUGAAGCCAUUAAAUCAAGCAGGGUCUGCAACUGUCAUACUGCUAUUUGAAAUGUUAUUGAGACCAGUGAGGAGGAGGACAGAAUACUCCAGGAGUUUUGAAAUACAAUCAGAAUGAAAAAUUAUUGGAAAGAAAUCUGCUUCACAGGUAAAGCUCAGUCACUGAAUCUAUCUACUCCUUCUCCCAUCUCUGCAGCUCCCCUCCCCUCUGAUACUCAAAGCCAAGGCAUGAAGUUACAUCUCUCUAUUUCUUCCAUCAGUUAUUGUGACAUCUGGAUGGGGUGCCACUUGAUGACAGGAGACACAACCAGAGAACUUACUCCAGCACGGUGACUAACAUGGAAGGAGAUUCUACUGCAACCUUCACUGGAAUGGCAGCACUGAAGAAAUCACUCCUGGAAAAAACAAGAAUUAUUACAUUACUCUCAGACAUCCUAGAAGGACUAAAGAUGUCAGUGAAACUAUCAGCACAGGUUAGGGAACAAAUACGGAAAGGCAGGAAAAGAGGGCUUUUAAUCAGGAAGAAAAUGCAUGUAGUAUUCUCCAAACUUAAAUCAGAAGUUUUGUACGUGAUGCAGGAUUUAGGUUCAGAUGAGCCUUUCCAAGUUAAUGGAGAUGCACAAAACUGAGUAAAAUAUGGAAAUAAAUCCUUGUAAAAGUCACCUCUAUGAAGCAAAUUAGAACUAUGCAACAGAUUUGUUACUUUCAACCUCCCAUAUAAAAACAAGAAGUCUUGUGCUUGACAUCCCCAACAUGUACCAUCAUGUCUCUGAUUGUACUAGUAAAGUCAGAUGAGUUCCAUCUUCAAUAAAUUGAGGGGAAGAUUGUAUUAUGAUAAAGCAGUUCAAAACUACCACAGAAAUUUUAUGCCAAGUUGGAAAGAGAAUAUUGAAUAUUCUCACUGAAUAUUCAGUACCUUAUAUGCUAGCAGGACAGUUCAGGAACAGAGCAUUUAAUCUAUAGACUUAUUUCCCUUUUAAGGAAACCCCAAAAGAUCUAACAGUUAGCACGUAAACAAGAUUAUAAGCAAUGCAUUUGCUGGAGUUGGUUUGCACUUGUUGAAGAAAGCAGGGACACCCCUUAUAACUAAAUAACAAAGGUUUUGCUGGACAGAGAUGAAGUGAACAUGCAGUUUUGUAAAGAACUUAAAAGGGAGCUGGGAACAAAGUGAGGCCUCAUCCUCCAUUUUUUAAUGUUUUUUGAAACACCUGCCAUUCAGUUAGCUCCUAAACUCCAAAAAUAAAGCAUCCCUUCAAAGCAUUUUCAUGGGCCCUAAGGCCAGGCAAUUGCUGAUCUGGAUGAGUCGAGAGCAUCUACUACAGAGGAAACAACAGCAGGAAGUGGGGAAUUCAUCUCAGAUUUCCUCUAACUUUACUGGUUGACUGUUAAUAGGGAAACCCCACCUACAUAUCUUAUAGGGUCAGAACCAUAACUGGAGGCUAUAGGGCAUACAGCUUCGCAAUCAUUCCAUUACAGUAAGAAUGUAUGUUUCCAGCUAAGUUCACAAACAAUGCUGAAUAGCUACUCAGAAGAAGAUUAACAGGACCUCCCACUUCAUGGAAACAGUGACUGUUUACAUAAUAUGUAAUGACAGUAAAUCAUAACAAAUCCUAGGAGAAAACUCCAGUGAGAGACAAAAUAACAAGACCAUCUGAUUUUAUUUCUUUUCCCAGUCUAACAACCCACGUCCCUGUCCUGUAAGGAUUUCUUUAUAUACUUAGCUUUCAGCACAUCUGUAACGCCACAGACUUCAAUUAGUCUAAUUAAGUGCAAAAAGAAAAAGUGUGCACAUAAGGGUGUGACCUUUUUUCCCCCCUUUGUUUAUUCAGUGACUAAUGGGGUAAAAUCCCUCUUGAUAGCUUGACUUCCCUUUCGCUAUGACACAAAUAACACUAUACUUUCCACUUUGCAAGGUUAAGCAAUUAGCAUUCUAAAAACAGGGCUGAUAUAAAGUAGCACCACUAUUGAUCUCCAUUACUAUGCUGAGCUAGACCAGCUGAGGAUCUGACCCUGCCUAAGAUGGUAAUUUGUAGCGUGCAAAGGAGCUAAAACAUAUUUUUGCCAGAUAAAGAUGUGCAAAGGGACAACCAGCUCCUGAAACUCACCUGCCAUUUGAAAUUAGCUGCUAAAUAAUGCCCUGCUUCAGAAAUCCUCAUACAAUAAUUUGCUAUAUUAUAAUUCAACAUAGUUUCCUCAAGACCGACAGAUUGCAUUUCUCCCCAGGGAACUCCUGCACUCUCUUUCUGUUUCUGCAUGUGCAAUGGGCAGACCCAUAGUUACACAACCAGAACUCAUUUCCUUAAACUGAACCAUUCUGGUGUAGAUUUUCUGAAAGGACACUCCUGUGAAAAAGUUAUCAAUUCCCUACUAAAGCAAAUGAGGGGAAAGGGAAAGGGGAAAAAACAGGAAAGGGAAAAAAGAUACAGAUAACAAAAAAAAAAGAAAGAAAGAAAAAAGACAGUCUGUUCCUGAAGCUGUGCAGUAAAAGAAUGCCUGCAUUUACAGGACGAUGUGCCACUUUUAAGGGAAGGGAUUGCCUGUAGCCGAUGCGCGGUGCUAAAUGUCAGCCUGACAGUGGCUGCAGGAAUGCAAAUUCUUCACAUCAGUGCAAGAAGGAAGCAGCACGCAUCCUGGGAGUCGUCUGCAGCCUUCUAUUAGCCCCUCACAACGUGGUUAGAGCGUCCAACAUACUGCUUGGAGAGCGCUCCUGCAGUAUCUCCCCACUUUGGGUUGGAAGUGGGUUCUGGUUGCCUUUUUUCAUAUUACUAGCGAUUUAAGCAUCAAACAAAGAAACAAAAUUCAAAACAAAAUUCUCUCACGUGAACUCACUACAUACACUUCAGCGCUUGCCCAGCUCCCACUCACACAGCAGCUAAAAGAUCUGGAGGAAAAGAACAGACCUUAAUGACCACGCGUCCCUGCGCUCUGGAGUGUGGGCUACAGCAACUAAUAACAGAUGAAGGUUUACAUGUUUUUCUUGUGUUUCUGCUGGGGUUGCUGUGUCAUUAAUUCAGCCUGUGCUUGACUACUUAUGUUAAACAUUCCCUUUGUGACUUUCUCUAAAUCUUAAAUUUUGCAUGUGACCACAUGUAAAUGUAAAUGUGUAUUUUUAUGGUCCUGUAAUCUCAGUGCUUUUAAAUCCCCGUUGCCUGAAGGCACACAGGGAGCUGAAGCAGAAAAGCUUGGUCAGUUUGUGAUCAUUUAAGCUAGUUUAUUUGCUCUUUCUGAGUAUAUUCAGCUCCUGUAGAGGUUUUUGCCUUUUGUGUAAUAGAGUACAGAUAAGAUCUAGGAACCUAAUUAACCCUGCAGGGCCUGUGAACAAGGCUCAUUAGAAAACAGUCAAACACAUUUAUAUUUGAAUACCUUAUUUACAGGAAUUCAUAUCAUAUUUCUGAACCGCAGAUAUACAUGCCACAUAAUCAUACCUUAACCACUGUAAAACAUUUCCUUAAAUUAAGCUGAAAAGUGCACCAAAUUUGAGCUCAAAGUCAUCUGGAUUAUACAUGUAAAUACCUCGUGCCUUAAUAAAUAAGUAAAAUAACUCAGUAAUAAAUGAAAGUUCUGUCUGCAGGACAUUCUAAGCUAUAAUGUCUCUUCACACACAUCCCCUCCAAAAAAUCCACAUUUCACGAAAUCAGUACUUAUUGCAGCCUGAGCAGAAAACACCACUGUGAAACAAUUUCUCUGGGGAUUUCCCCCUCUGCCCAGGGCAGUGACA